rnacentral:rRNA from 1 species
UGGUGGGUUGCCUUGUCAGGUUGAUUCCGGUAACGAACGAGACCUCAGCCUGCUAAAUAGUCACGGGUACCUUGGUACACGCUUGACUUCUUAGAGGGACUAUUGGCGUUUAGCCAAUGGAAGUGUGAGGCAAUAACA